AGGGUAAACUUGGUGUGCCUGGACUUCCUGGAUAUCCUGGAAGACUAGGACCAAAGGGAUCUCUUGGAUUCCCAGGAUUCCCUGGGUCAAAUGGCGAGAAGGGAACAAGGGGUCUUAGCGGCAAAGCAGGGCCCAGAGG